CUUUACUGUAGCCUGGAAUUGGGUUCGGGCUUUAACUGCGCAGGAUAGGUGGGAGGCUAUGAUCCAAUCCUUGUGGGGAUUGGGGAGCCAACGGUGAGAUACCACUCUGUUAAGGCUAGAACUCUAACCUUCACCCGUAAUCCGGGGAGGGAACAGUUUCAGGUGGGCAGUUUGACUGGGGCGGUCGCCUCCUAAAUGGUAACGGAGGCGCGCAAAGGUUCUCUCAGGCUGGUUGGAAAUCAGCCGUAGAGUGUAAAAGCACAAGAGAGCUUGACUGUGAGACGAACAUGUCGAGCAGGGGCGAAAGUCGGCUUUAGUGAUCCGACGGCGCUGAGUGGAAGGGCCGUCGCUCAACGGAUAAAAGUUA
rnacentral:rRNA from 1 species